rnacentral:ncRNA from 1 species
CGGGGUAAAGGUAAACCAUCCGAAAGGGUGGGGCACAAAGCUACAGGGCCCUCCACCGUUAAGGUCGGGCAGCCAGCUGCCGCAA